AACGAACGCUGGCGGCGUGCCUAACACAUGCAAGUCGUGCGAGAAAGUUCCUUCGGGAGCGAGUAAAGCGGCGCACGGGUGAGUAACACGUAGGUAACCUGCCCCCCAGUCUGGAACAACUAGAGGAAACUCUAGCUAAUGCCGGAUGAGACCACGAUCCCUUCGGGGUUGCGGCCAAAGAUGGCCUCUACUUGUAAGCUAUCGCUGAGGGAUGGGCCUGCGGGCCAUUAGCUUGUUGGUGAGGUAGCGGCUCACCAAGGCUGUGAUGGCUAGCUGGUCUGAGAGGAUGACCAGCCACACUGGGACUGAGACACGGCCCAGACUCCUACGGGAGGCAGCAGUGGGGAAUAUUGCGCAAUGGGCGAAAGCCUGACGCAGCGACGCCCGCGUGGGUGAUGAAGGCC
rnacentral:rRNA from 1 species